rnacentral:rRNA from 1 species
GUCUAGGGUCAUGCCACCCUGAACAAGCCUGAACCCGUCUGAUCUCAGAAGCUAAGUAGGGUCAGGCCUGGUUAGUACUUGGAUGGGAGACCAGCUGCUGUAGGUG